AUACUGAUAGUACUACUCUGCUU
rnacentral:piRNA from 1 species